rnacentral:lncRNA from 1 species
CCAUACCAAACCAUACCAUAUCAUACUAAAUGGAGUGUCUCGGAUUUACUUACAGAAUAAUAUGAAAUGCUCUGAGACCAGGUUGCAACUGUUUCCCGUAUGUAUCAAGCUAACUUGACACAACUGUGGGAAGCAUUGGAGUCGACAUGGGCCAGCAUCCCUGUGGAACGCUUUUGACACCUUGUGGAGUCCAAACCCCAACGAAUUACGGAUGUUCUGAGGGAAAAAGGGGGGGGAUGCAACUCAAUAUUAGGAAGGUGUUCCUAAUGUUUGGUAUACUCAGUGUAAAUUCACAAUACAUUUCUUUGACUUGAAUUCAACAGUUUGAAUACAACAGUGUCAGCAUUAUUCUAUUAUUACGCAUGACCCAAAUUAUUUCGAGGUCUCUAAAGUGCAUCUAACCUAAACCUGUCGACAUUGAUACCCUGCGCCAAUAGUUUCUCUCCAACGAAACCGAAAGAAACUGAAAAUGUGAUUGAUCGCGGAAGUUUUUCUCGACUUGAUGGGACUGGAGUUUGGUGAAAUCCUAAGCCCAGCGCCAGCAACCCAUGACGGAGAGGGAAACUAAAGACGCCAACGGGAAUUCAGCAAUGUUGGUAACCACGCAUCUUCGGGAAAACCACGGCACAUCCUGGGUCCGCUUGCCAACGCGUUGACUUUUUACAUUAAACCGUAUUUAAACAACCACAUAGGCGACUUACCGUUUGGAUACAAUGUACGCAGCCCUACCAUGAAUAACUCCCACCGCUCUUGCUGGCUCCCGAGGACAGGGAUUUGCUCGUCUGAAGAACAUCUUAUAGAAAAUGAUAAAUGUGUGUGAACGGGCCUGUGCUCCGUAGCGUCUUGGUGUUUCUGCUGUUGGGUGUCUCCUACACUAAGCGCAGGUGCAACUAUUCGGAGAUACUCGGCUCAUACAGAGAACUCAUCUUCGUUGAACUUCAGAAUUUGAAUCUGACUGGCAAUUUUGACACAUCCAAAGAGAGGGACCGUUGUCCCUCAGGAAAGGUGCAGCACGUUUUGCGCUCCAUCCAUGGUAUGACUCAGCAGUUCCUGUGCCAGGGCCGCAGGCAGGGCAUUAGACAACAGGGGGGCAUGGAGAAGCCAGUGGAGAUGAUGGAACAGCUGAUCAGACAGAACUGCAAACACACUGACCUGGUGAGAAGACAGAAGAGAGCUGCCCCGUGUGUGACUUCCCAGAGAACGAAGGGAAAGAAGAAGAAGAGGAUAAGACUCAUCAGAGCACUGAUAGACUGUUGGCAGAAGCUGCAGAGUGUGUACUUGCCCACAAAAUGAAUGGGAAAUACUAUGUUUUUCAUUUUCCCAAUUGUUUAAAAAAGAGCCUGUAUGGAUUGUGUUUAAUUUGGUUCUCAUUUUGUAUAGUAGAACCACAUUUGUAUGUCAGGGAUGGUGCUCUCUGUUUAUGGCCUUUCUUCUUAUACUGUAGUUCCUCAUCUAUAAACUACAGCGCACAAUAGAUCAUCUGAAUUAAAGGUAGACUCAGCGAUAUGACGUAGAUGCAGAAAGUAAACAGCGUGAAGCAAACCCGUGCACAUGGACAGAUACUGUGUCUGACAGCGUGAGAGCGAAAUGCUGCAUCUCUCAUCUCAAUAUCUCCGGUGUUGCUCGAGGCGAUGACAUUUUGCUGACUCUACCUUUAAUAAUGGUUGUUAGAGGAUGGUAUACAAUGCAAUUAAAAUAUUUACUUGUAAUAGUUUGUGCACACACAUAAAAAAUAUAUUAUCUCAUAAUCCAGAGAUUGCGAUCCUUUUUCUUAAACAUAUUUGGUGCUGUUCUAUAAAAUUAAUCAGUUAUUCAAGCUGCCCACAGCUAAUAAAGGUUUCUCAAACUGCACCAUUUGUUUUUUAUUCCUUUAAUUAUCAAUACAUAGGCUAUUACUAGAUAUCAACUGUUUUAUUCUCUUUUGAUGUGAAGUUGUUAUCAAAAUGGACAAAAAAACUGCUACAGCAGGUGGCGGCAUGGACAUGUGUGUGAACUCCAUUAUACCGAAGACAAAGAGGAGGAAGAAAAAAGACAAAGAAGAAUUUAGAUUUUUGAUUUGAUUUAUUA